AUUCCAUAGUGAGGGCAUUCCUAAGAGAGGUCAUUAAAUCUCUUCAUAAAUUUGGAGAAUGACUCACUAAGUUUCUGCCUAAAUUGAAGAAUAUCACUCCUGAGUUU